AUUUUAUUAGUAUAACAAGUAUAAUUAACUUCCAAUUAAUGGGUUUAAUUUUUAAAUAAAAUA
rnacentral:tRNA from 1 species